UCUUCGUGCGUCCCUCUUCGUGCGUCCCUCUUCGUGCGUCCCUCUUCGUGCGUGCCUCUUCGUGCCAACCCUGGUUCAUGUUUUUGACUUUAAUUGUUGCCUUGUUUUUGUAUUUGAUUAGCUUUUUAGAAUAAACUCUUUUUUGUUAAACCUCAUCUGGCAUUUGGGUCCACCUUUUCACCUAGUCGUAACAGGGCUUUAACCAAGGUUUUGCCAAAAGAAUCUGGACUCACUGAGACGUCUUUGUUUUAUACGUUAAAAGACGGAGACGAAACGGUGCACAGAGGAGGUCAUAGCCUUGAAAUUUUGGUGCCAGGACAACAACCUCCAUCUCAUUGUCAUCAAAACUAACUCUACUACAAGCAAGCCAAAAAUAUGGAACUGCUUACACUGGCACUCACUCAACAUCUGCAAAAAGUAUUCAGGAACAAGUCGGGGCCCUGGCUGCAAGGACUCGAUAACCCCUCCUCUCUCCCUCUCCCUCUCUCUUGGACGUUGUGGUGAUGGAGGGCUUGGGGGGGUGGGGGGGGUUCCCCUUCACUCCAGACAGAACCUGCCAUUCGAAUGCAAAGCCUCAGCUGCUGCAAAGCAGCCCCUCCUGCCCCCCUCCACCACUACCACCACCACUCUAUUAUUUUGUCGGAUUUCGCAGCUAUUUUUGGAUGGGCAGGCUAAGCCGUCUAAGGAUUUCCACUGGAGAUAUGUCAUCAAAACCCGGCCACCACCCCAUGCGACCAUUAACAUAAAAAUUAAAGAAUUAUAUGCAGAGAAAAUGGGCAGUGAAUAAAUGAAUAAAUAAAUACA